CUCGUAGGCGGUUUGUCGCGUCGGGAGUGAAAACACCGGGCUUAACUCGGUGCUUGCUUCCGAUACGGGCAGACUAGAGGUAUGCAGGGGAGAAUGGAAUUCCUGGUGUAGCGGUGAAAUGCGCAGAUAUCAGGAGGAACACCGGUGGCGAAGGCGGUUCUCUGGGCAUUACCUGACGCUGAGGAGCGAAAGUGUGGGGAGCGAACA
rnacentral:rRNA from 1 species